ACGCUCGACACCUACGGGAGGUAGCAGUGGGGAAUAUUGCACAAUGGGGGAAACCCUGAUGCAGCGACGCCGCGUGAGCGAAGAAGUAUUUCGGUAUGUAAAGCUCUAUCAGCAGGGAAGAAAAUGACGGUACCUGACUAAGAAGCCCCGGCUAACUACGUGCCGCNNCGCGAGUAUNGCGGCGNGNGAGAG
rnacentral:rRNA from 1 species